rnacentral:rRNA from 1 species
UGGGGAAUCUUCCGCAAUGGGCGAAAGCCUGACGGAGCAAUACCGCGUGAGGGAGGAAUGCCUUUGGGUUGUAAACCUCUUUUCUCAGGGAAGAAGAUCUGACGGUACCUGAGGAAUAAGUAUCGGCUAACUCCGUGCCAGCAGCCGCGGUAAUACGGAGGAUGCAAGCGUUAUCUGGAAUCAUUGGGCGUAAAGCGUCCGCAGGUGGUUUCCAAAGUCUGCUGUUAAAGACUGGAGCUCAACUCCGGAACGGCGGUGGAAACUUGGAAACUAGAGUUCGGUAGGGGUAGCAGGAAUUCCCAGUGUAGCGGUGAAAUGCGUAGAUAUUGGGAAGAACAUCGGUGGCGAAGGCGUGCUACUGGACCGUAACUGACACUCAGGGACGAAAGCUAGGGGAGCGAAAGGGAUUAGAUACCCCUGUAGUCCUAGCUGUAAACGAUGGAAACUAGGUGUGGCUUGA